AUUGAACGCUGGCGGCAGGCCUAACACAUGCAAGUCGAGCGGAAACGAGUUAUCUGAACCUUCGGGGAACGAUAACGGCGUCGAGCGGCGGACGGGUGAGUAAUGCCUAGGAAAUUGCCCUGAUGUGGGGGAUAACCAUUGGAAACGAUGGCUAAUACCGCAUAAUGCCUACGGGCCAAAGAGGGGGACCUUCGGGCCUCUCGCGUCAGGAUAUGCCUAGGUGGGAUUAGCUAGUUGGUGAGGUAAUGGCUCACCAAGGCGACGAUCCCUAGCUGGUCUGAGAGGAUGAUCAGCCACACUGGAACUGAGACACGGUCCAGACUCCUACGGGAGGCAGCAGUGGGGAAUAUUGCACAAUGGGCGCAAGCCUGAUGCAGCCAUGCCGCGUGUGUGAAGAAGGCCUUCGGGUUGUAAAGCACUUUCAGUCGUGAGGAAGGUGGUGUAGUUAAUAGCUGCAUUAUUUGACGUUAGCGACAGAAGAAGCACCGGCUAACUCCGUGCCAGCAGCCGCGGUA
rnacentral:rRNA from 1 species